UUGUUCAAGAAUGUUUUUCAAGUAUAAGAGAUCAGAACCCAAUUCUAGCUAACAUACUAUAUUAUGGUCAAUUAGAAGAUAUUGUUAGGGUAAUUUACGGGUUUGGUAAUACAAAACAAUGUAGUUAUACGAUGUUUAAGGUUCGGUGGUGUCCUGCAAAAAAACAAAAGGAUCAUUAUGGAUUUAUACAAGUCAAUCUCCACCGAGAAGUAUAUACAGAUGAGAAAUUCAUUUCCGCAGAACAAGCUGAUUAGUGUUUCUUUGUGAAAGAUACAAAUGUUAUGUUUGAUUAGGUGGUUUUGUACAAGGAGCCAAGAUCUGUUGUUCUUCCUAAUAACAAAGAAAAAAUAUUGAAGAAAGUGAAGAUAAUUAUAGUGAACCAAUUGGGUCAUCUGAUGACGUUUGGUAAGAAUUCUCUUACACACAGAAUGUGGCGCUAGAUAUAGGUAUGAACUAUAUAUGUUACACUGCAUUACUAAUUUUUAGCUUAUCAUAAUAAAAACAAUAAUGCAUUUCAUAAUAACAUAUCUCAUGAGCAUGUAUACAAUUUUUUCUUAACUAUGUUAAUAAUUGAAUUUGGAGAUGAGGAGGGCGAGGAGGCUCUUUGGCCCGGAGGAUGAUCGAUCACGGAGUAUAACCCCUAGUACUGGUGCUGAUGAUACACUACCAUCUCCGGAUGCAGAUGUGGGUUAUUCAUCUCCCAGCCCCUCUGAUGUAGCAUCAGAACCAUCCCCCGACACAGGUUCUUCUUGGACCCUGAUAUAUACAUUCCAUACUGACUGGUGACCGAAGACAUAGGGCUGUCUCAGUUUACCCUUACCUCCGGACUCUUAGAAGUCCAUGGCAGACUCAAGGAAGUACCGCCCACGUGCUGCGUGAAAGUUAGAGGAAAUGCUUCCUAUGUUGGAGACUAGGAAAGCUGUUGCACCGCAGUAAAAG